rnacentral:rRNA from 1 species
CCUACGGGUGGCAGCAGUGGGGAAUAUUGGGCAAUGGAGGCAACUCUGACCCAGCAACGCCGCGUGAAUGAUGAAGGCCUUCGGAUUAUAAAGUUCUGUGAUGGGGGAUGAAAACAAUGACGGUACUCCAAUAGCAAGCCACGGCUAACUACGUGCCAGCAGCCGCGGUAAUACGGAGGUGGCAAGCGUUAUCCGGAAUGACUGGGCGUAAAGGGGGCGUAGGUGGUUUAGUAAGUUGGCGGUGUAAUUCCGGGGCUCAACCUCGGCGCUACCGCCAAAACUAUUAGACUAGAGUGCAGUAGAGGUAGGUGGAAUUCCUGGUGUAGCGGUGGAAUGCGUAGAUAUUAGGAAGAACAUC